rnacentral:snoRNA from 1 species
GAGACAUUAACAAAAAUAUAUUUCUUCUUUAGAAUGUGGUUUCUCAUUUUCUGUGGACAUGACCUUUAAAAAAUACUCACUAGGUUUGUUUUCUGCUAUACUGGUAGCAUCCAGUCUUUUGAAACAUUU